rnacentral:rRNA from 1 species
UGGGGAAUAUUGCACAAUGGGGGAAACCCUGAUGCAGCGACGCCGCGUGAACGAAGAAGGUAUUCGUAUCGUAAAGUUCUGUCCUAUGGGAAGAUAAUGACAGUACCAUAGAAGAAAGCUCCGGCUAAAUACGUGCCAGCAGCCGCGGUAAUAAGUAUGGAGCGAGCGUUGUCCGGAAUUAUUGGGCGUAAAGGGUACGCAGGCGGUUUAAUAAGUCGAAUGUUAAAGAUCGGGGCUCAACCCCGCAAAGCAUUGGAAACUGAUAAACUUGAGUAGUGGAGAGGAAAGUGGAAUUACUAGUGUAGUGGUGAAAUACGUAGAUAUUAGGAGGAAUACCAGUAGCGAAGGCGACUUUCUGGACACAAACUGACGCUGAGGUACGAAAGCGUGGGGAGCAAACAGG